rnacentral:ncRNA from 10 species
AACUGUUUGCAGAGGAAACUGAGA